rnacentral:rRNA from 1 species
GACGAACGCUGGCGGCGCGCCUAACACAUGCAAGUCGAGCGAGAACCAGGGCUUCGGCCCUGGGGACAGCGGCGAACGGGUGAGUAACACGUGGAUAACCUGCCCUCGGCACCGGAAUAGCCCGGGGAAACCCGGAUUAAUGCCGGAUGGCCCCACAUCCCCGCGGGGAACGUGGGAAAAGGUAGCUUCGGCCUCUGGCCGAGGAUGGGUCCGCGGUGGAUUAGCUUGUUGGCGGGGUAACGGCCCACCAAGGCGACGAUCCAUAGCUGGUCUGAGAGGACGAUCGGCCACACUGGGACUGAGACACGGCCCAGACUCCUACGGGAGGCAGCAGUGGGGAAUCUUGCGCAAUGGGCGAAAGCCUGACGCAGCGACGCCGCGUGCGGGAAGAAGGCCUUCGGGUUGUAAACCGCUUUCAGGAGGGACGAAGCCACUCGGGUGAACAGCCCAGAGGGUGACGGUACCUCCAGAAGAAGCCCCGGCUAACUACGUGCCAGCAGCCGCGGUAACAC